GCCGCCUGGCGGGGUGACUGACGCGCGUCCCCGCUCCCCACGGUUCCCCCGCCCCGCCGCCCCCCCUGCCCGGGCCCCGGUUCUCCCCCACAGACCGCGGGCCGGGCCGAGAACCGGGCCGAGAACUGAAUACCCUUCCCUGGCCGCUACUGUCCCGUUGCCCAUCGAUUUCUCUCGGCCUACAGCUCCCGCAGGGCAGCGCGCCACCUGCUCUGGCCCGGCCAGGGCAGGCGGCAGCAAGGCACGUCGGGAGCUGUAGUUCGUGAGGGAGGGGAGCGGCACCGCCUCCGAGGCUUCUCCCCGGGUGGGCAGCGCAGCCGGCCCUGCCAGUGGCUCUACCGCCCCGCGUCUCACAGUGCCGGGCUCAGAACACCUCAAAAACCGGCGCGGUUCUCGCCUUCAUCCCACAGUCUGUCCUGGGCACUGUUUGGAGCGGGACUCCUGGCUCAGGCGCCUCUUCCAGCCCCUCGCCCACACCUGCCCCGGGGCUGCCGCCAGCUCGCUCGCUCCCCCCGGCCCUGCCGCCAUCGCACGGGCGCGGCUGUCACACAGCGCUGUGCCUUACGAGGCAGCCCCCCAGCUUCACUCCGUAGGGAGAUUUUCAAAGUUCUCUGAGAACUGCUGCCCAGUUCACCAGUCUGUUUUCAACCGCUUUGCUUUCAGUCCAGUUUUUGUGGGGGUGUUAGUCAUGUAGAGCUGGACAGGGAGGUCUGCUCGGGACUGGCGUCACCGCAGCGUUAUCUCCCACCACCCCUUUGGAAAAGACUAGCGUGAAAACUAGGGACUAAAUCACUUCAGUAUCUGGGAGCACGCCUGAGAAGGCUUACUAUCAACCUACAAACUGAAGUCAGAUUAAGGUAACUGCAAGAAAGUUAACACACAAAUGUCAGACUGGAUUACUUGGAGCACUUGACAGCCACUUGGACCGGCGGUAGAGCUGCUCUGCAGUCACCCUCGUGGUGUGCCUGCAGCGCAAGACACAUAUCCCUGCUCUCCCGUCUAAUGUGACAAUCGCUACCCAUGCCUUGCAAGAGGGCAAUUAGCAGUCUUCAAUUCCCUAGACAGAACAACCAAGAUCUGCAGUUUUGUCAGAUCCUGGUUUGUCUUUGAGUGCCUCCUCCUCCCCCAUGUUCCCCUUCACAUACCAGUCUUUGUAUGUAGUGUCAUUUCAGCAAGGAAUUACAUUUUCUGUUUGGAGGUUGUAAUAGAAUACAGCAUUUAAUAAGGUCAUAGAAAAGACAGGGCACCAUUGCUUAUCCCUUUACUCCCCUAUAUGGGUUGAAGGUGCAAGGCUGGAAAGAGCCAAAUCACUCUAUCUAUACCCAAUUUUCAUCUUGUUUUAGAGUAUAAGCAGAGUUAACAGGAGCAAUACUGUGUGAAAACUGCAGAAGAGCUUCAUGUUUGAACAAUGAAGGGAAAAUGAUUUCCCACUCAUUAAUCACUCUACAGAUCUUUGUAGACUCUAAGAAGCAAGGCUAUGUAGGAGUGGAGCCCUGACCACCUUUUAGUGGAGCCUGUCAGGGGAAUGGCAAGACUGGGAGUGCAGGUGUGAAGGUAGCCUGUUGCUUCCUCUAAGUUUUCAUCAUGCAGCCAGCAAUAAAUAACCAGCAACUUACCAGUCUCUUUCUUCACCUCAGAUCUAUUGCAAGUACCUUGGGUCUCAUACUGGCCUUCCAAACAGCAUCAAAAGUUUUCAGUCUUACCUCAAAUAAAUAGCAAAACCCAAGGUAACUCAGAGAAGACAAAACCCACACAAAGUAAAAUGUAACCUUAUUUGGAUAACAGAAAAGUUUCAAACUAAUAGUAUCCUUCCUGUAUAUAUAUAUAUAUAUUUUUUUUUUGCCAUAAGACUGGUUAAAAACAAAUCUGUCGUGAAUUGGCUUCUACUGCCAACCUUACCUGAUGGACAUUUCCUUCUGAACUUCAUAAAGAUGUUCUUUUUUUAUGGGUGAAGGGCACAUUCAGGGAUUGCUUGUAGAGGUCCCUGAAGUUCAGUUCUGCUUCUGCUGGGACAAACAAAACUUUGGGAACAGAUGGCAGAUGACAUAAUUUUUUGUAAAAAAAUUUCAUAAAAAUAAACUUUAUCACUUCUGUAAAGCAGGUAAUUGAGCUUAGUGAAUUCAACACAAAAGAAUUUUAAAUGAAUGGUGUUCAACUGAAUCCCUGAGCUUAUGUGAUGUGAAUCAGUUUCAUAGGGACACAAAUGUCCCACAUCUGAAGAGUUCUAUUUUGAAGUUUCUAUGAUUAAAUAAAGAAUAGGGAAGGAGCUACAUCCCCCUCUCAUUUUGGGAAAUUAACAUUAUUUUUGUUGCAGUUUCAAGGUUUCUCAUGUUUGAGAGACUUCUCUAGGCAUGAAAAGAAAAAGUAACAAAACUGAAAACUUUGGUGGGCAGAUUCCAGAGAGGAGGAGGAAAGGAGAAAGAAAGCAUUUCUAACUGAACUUUAGUAGUUGUCUAGGUUUUGAGCUCUUAUUCCUUCUGAAAAUACUGCCUAGAAAUAAGAUAUGCUGUAGAGACCAGUUUUGGACCACUCCCUCCCUUUGAGAUGUUUUAUUUUUCCAAACAAAACUGAACCAGCAGAGGCAGCUGGACCAGCAGCUGUAGAGCAGUACAGCAAGAAUGCUGUGAGAGAGGGACCAGCCUAUUAUUUAUAACUUCUGUGUCUGUGGUGGCAAGCAGCACAGCCCAGAGAAAAAGAUUAUCCCUAAUCUAGUAGUUUAGACUUGGAAUUUUCAUGACAACCUCAAUCAGUGUGAAGAUACACAAAAAUAUGUUCAUAAUCCAGAUAUUGCUGAUAUUUGGGUUAGGGGCCCUGUGAGCCUUGAAAGUUAAACUCCAAACAUUUCUUUGCAUUGUCAUCAGUUGUAAAUAAAAAUGAAGGGAAAUGAAGGGAAAAUGAAAGAACACACUCUAAUAGGAACAACUAGAAAAGUUUCCAUUUCACACACAAAUGGAAGAAUGAGCUUUUUAACAGAGCCAAAGAGUCAGGCAACUUCAGGUCUCCUCACUGUCUUUUGGAUCACCAGGAAGAAGUACAGUUUUGACCCUUCACAGUGACAGUAUAUGAUGUUCAGCUGUUCUAUCCAACAUGGCAAUUUGCUAUACCAUCUGCAGCUAUAGUAUUUACUCUGGGAAGCACAUCUGUGCUCUGACCAGAGCAGAGAAAAUGAGGAAGUAGGUUUAUCUAAAGAUCGAAUCUUAAGCAGUGGUGGAGUUUGUUGGGAAACAGUGGGAAAAUGGUCACCCUUUUGAUCAUCUGGAAAGAUAUUUCCUCUUAGUUACAGAGGUAUUCAGCCAAGCAAUAACAUGCUAUGGAGCAGAGAAAUGCAUGUAAACCAAAUCCUUCUCAACCACUAUGCUUCCUUAAAAUGCCAGUUUGUAACCUUAAAAACAACAAAAACACCUUAAAGGUGAAGAAACAGUUCAAUUCCAUGCAGAAUCCAGAUCACCUGCAACAGAUUUUUCUCUCUCAGAAGCAAAACAACAUAUACAUACACACACACACACACACACACACAUAAAUAUCCCUUUUUACACAUACAAGACCCAGCAGCAAUUCCUUGUCAUGCAAGCAAAGCUCAGGAGGAAAAGUGAAGUCAAAAGAAAGGAAUGUUGAAACAUAUUCUUACACAUUUUUGCCUUCACAUUCCUUAUUAUAAAUAUGAAAAAAAAUUAGCCAUGGAUUAAUGGGGCCUUACUAGUGCAGCAAAGAAAAGUUUGCAAAGAAAGGGUCAUUAUGACAGUUUUUCCUACUGCCUAUUGAGAAGAAAUAGAGCUUCUUUGUACAAGCAAUAGGCAAGAAUAGCUAGAGGAAGAGGUUGUAAAGGAAUCCUCUUGGUAUAAGAUAUACAAACCUCUAAGCUUCAUAAGCUUCUGGAAGUUUCAUUUUAGAAAAUUUUCUUUUAAUUUUGAUAUAACUUGCUUAAGAAAUGAUGACUUAUAAAUCUUCUUUCCUCAAAAUAUUAAGUGAUCUGGUCCUCUUGCAUCUUUCAUUGAGGAGAAGUGGAGAUUCUUGAGUUUAUGGAAAGGUUGUUUGAAGAUCUGCUCGCUUGCCUCUGACAUAACUAAUGCUCCUAUCUCCAGCACAUACUGUGGGCUUUUAGGCAGUAUCAACAAAUUUAUUAUUAAAAAAAAACCAACAAGCAACAAAACAAUGAAGCAAACCCAAAACAGAAUUAAAAGGCCCCUGUAACAUGCUAACUUCAAAAGAAUCAGAGCAAAGGAAGAUAUAUUCAAAAAUUACCCAGUACAAGAGCUGAGAAAUGCAAAACACAAGCUCAUCACUCCCUAAAUUAGGGCUUGUGGUGGUUUCACCCCAGCCAGCAACCAAUGACAAAAACAUCUCUACAUUAUCAACUGCGUUCAGAACAAAUCCAAUACCUAGCCCCCUAGCAGCCAUUGGAAAAAAAAUUACCUCAGGUGAAAUCUGCACAGCUAUAAUCAAUAUCUGUUUCCUUUUCUUUCCUUUCUUUUAAAAGAGAUGCAUUUCAGAUUACAAAAUAGAACACAAAGGUUAUUUUUAUCUAACCUGAUUACCCAAGCUGAGAGCUAGAACCAGACCUAUUAUGAUAGUCAACUGAACUUUUUGUACACAGCUUACUCUCUGGUAUUCUUUGUUAAUAAAUCAGUGACUGGGUACAGAGAGAACAGAUGCCUCUCUACUGCUCUGGGUGUUGCGCUCUGCUCAGUCCAUAGGCAGAAGGGGGAAAUUCCCCUGGGAGCAGUUAACCAUACUCACUUGGGAGAAAGACUUGGUGUGAAAUAAUAGGAUUAUUGUAAUAAAGUGAUUUCCUUACUUCUUGAUAUGAAAAGCUCCCGCCUUUUUAGGAGGGUGAGAAAGAGUCUGAAGAAGAGAACACAGUGAAUUUCUACAGGAAAUAAAUUUGUAAAAGAGUUAGGGUUAAGAUGCACUAGCAUUAAUACUCAAAUACUCAAGUCUUAUAGGAAAUAGAAAUAUUUUUUCUUUGUUGAGGCAUUUGUACAGACUGUAUUUAGUUUGGGGAAUUUCUGAGUAAGAAAAAUUAACUUCAAGGAAGGUUGUAGCCUUUAGGGGUUUAGCAGGUAGGGGAGAGAUUUGUUCUCAGACUAUUUUUUAAGCAUGUCUCAAUAUUUCUGAAUUUGCACUUGUUACAGAUAUAGUUUGUUCUACUUUUUAGGGGUUAUAAAGCUGUCAUAUUUUUGGGUGACUUUAAGAAAAGGGGAAAUUUGGGUAGGUUUUUUUUUGAUAUUACUGAAAGCCUUGGUCCUGACAAAAUAUUUAUGUGGACAAUUGCUUGCUCUUCCAAUAAUUCCAUCAUAACUUACUUGACUGCAGGUAAAAAUUAAUAUCUUUGUGUUCUUACUUUAUUAUUCAGCUCUAUAUCUGCAAAAUAAUUGGGGGUUUUGUCAUCCUUUAACCAUUUUUGUUACCUUUUCCAAGGUGAAUGUUUAGUAAAGCUUUGUUUAAACUAUGCAGGUCUGAGGCUAUGUAUGGUAUCUUUUUUUCUGGAGAAAAGUGUGAUAAAAAAAACUUGCAAUAUAACAGGUACAGGGACAGCUCUCUACCCCUGAAAUGAAAUGCAGUGAGUACUUAACAACCUGAACAACAAUUUUUAGAGAGCAAAGAUCAAACUAUGGAUUAAUAGGUGCCCUUGCUGAUGCUGUAACUGUUGUAACUGUAUGUCAGUUCUGGUGUGAGCAGAACAAAUUACAUUUAUGGAAACCUGGGAGUUUUUUAGAACAGCUAACAAUGCUGUUUCUACUUCUUAUGACAUUUUGGAGAAUGUUUAGUGAACACAAAGAUGUGGAAGUGUUUUUGUAUGAAUUUAGUGAACAAAGAACAUUCCAUCCAUACUGAAUGAUCAUUUUCAGAAAUAAAUGUCCAGUUGUUUAUAAUGAGCAAUAGGAUUAUAGUAAUUCUAGCUCAUGUUUUCUUAUUUAUUAUGAUUUUUAAAUACACUUUAAUAAUAUCAACUGCAUGCAUUUACAGUUUUUUAAAAAUCUACAUUUUAAUUAAACUGCACUGAAAUUA